rnacentral:rRNA from 1 species
AAUCAACGCUGGCGGCGUGCCUAACACAUGCAAGUCGAACGAGAAAGGGACUUCGGUCCUGAGUAUAGUGGCGCACGGGUGAGUAACACGUGAAUAAUCUACCUCCGAGUGGGGAAUAACCUGGAGAAAUCUAGGCUAAUACCGCAUAACACUUACGAGUCAAAGCAGCAAUGCGCUUUGGAGAGGAGUUCGCGGCAGAUUAGUUAGUUGGCGGGGUAAUGGCCCACCAAGACGAUGAUCUGUAUCCGGCCUGAGAGGGCGCACGGGACACACUGGAACUGAAACACGGUCCAGGCUCCUACGGGAGGCAGCAGUGGGGAAUUUUGCGCAAUGGGGGAAACCCUGACGCAGCAACGCCGCGUGGAGGAUGAAGUAUCUUGGGUACGUAAACUCCUUUUCGAUGGGGAAGAUAAUGACGGGUACCCAUAGAAGAAGCCCCGGGCUAACUUCGUG